GCCCAGCGCUGAAUCCUAUAACCAUAGGUUAUCAGGAGUUGUAGCGUAAAGGUGUAGCUAUCCAGUUGUUUUGCCCAUCCAAAGUCCCCUUGAGUGGGGCUACAGUCCAUAGACGGUGCUAGACCUGUACGGAUGGCUGAGCCUCUGGCAAUGGUUGCACUUUGGAGUCGGGUUGCCUGAGAUCGCAGCCCAAAGAGGGUGGUAAACCUCAUCUAAGGCUAAAUACGGCCACGAGACCGAUAGCAAACAAGUACCGUGAGGGAAAGUUGCAAAGAACUUUGAAGAGAGAGUUCAAGAGGGCGUGAAACUGCUGAGAAGGAAACGGAUAGAGUUGACGAAACUUGUCGGCAUUCAGCCGGUUGGCUUAGCGGCCUUGCGGUUUCGAUCCUCGAUGAGGGCGACGGCGUGAGUCGCUGCUUAGUCGAUUGGUGUAUUUGCCGGCAGUAUGCGCCGAGUGCUUUGUUUACGCGUGUUGAACUUCGUCUAGUGGACCGCAUCUUCCGGGUGUGGAACCCUGUUCGGAGGAAAGCACGUCGUCGAUAACGCUUAGUGUGUCACUUUCACGAUGUCACUGGUUGUACGUUAGCUGACAGGCUGUGGGUGGUCGCUUGCGACAUAUCUGUGGUAACUGUUGGUUGGCGAGCAACUAGGCGAGUUAUGGUGACUUUUCGGUGUGAACGUUGACCACCUAUCCGACC
rnacentral:rRNA from 1 species